rfam:Pan troglodytes isolate Yerkes chimp pedigree #C0471 (Clint) chromosome 5, whole genome shotgun sequence.
UAUUAGGUUGGCGCAGAAGUGAUUGUGGUUUUUGCCAUUGAAAGUAAUGGCAAAAACCACAAUUACUUCUCUGCCAACCUAAUA